rnacentral:rRNA from 1 species
CUUUCCAGACAUGCCAAUAUCCUUAAAAGACACAAGAUCCCAUCUGCAUUUUGAAGCUAAGCAGGGACAGGCCUGGUUACUACUUGGUUGGGAAACCAUUAAUGAAUACUAAGGUACUGAAUGGG